ACACGUGGCAGCAUAUGAUAGGUAGAGCAUUUUGGUAAAGUAAAAAUACCAUAGCAUUCUAGAACUUAGUCAUUUUCUAAAACAGCCACCAUCUUCUUCUUCUACUUUUCCUCCAUUGCCUUACCUUUCAAGCACCACUACUCAAAUUCUAACCGUUUGAAUUUCAAAUUGAAGCUACCCAAGCUUUUAGGACUGCAAGAGGAGCAUUUCCCACCGAUUGAAUCUCCGUUUCGUCCAACCGGUGAUUCUAACAUUUUGGGAGUGUAAGAAAGUGGUCUGGAGUUCCUACUUGAGCUUGGUUGUCUACACUAGAGUAAGUGAUGACGUACCUCUGGAGCAGGCUUUGGAGACCGAGGAAGACCCAGCACCUAGUGCUUAGGCGAUCUUGAUGCUUUAUUUCUUUUAGCUUACCAUAUUUUGCAAAACCUUGGACCUUUGUACUCUGAUUACUUGUCGUUUUAAUUUCCCCUCUAUUUUGGAUGACUGUAANUCGUACUUAUACAGUUAUUUCUACUCCUAACUGCUUUCUAGUAUUAUAAUA